UAGGGAAUAUUGCACAAUGGGGGAAACCCUGAUGCAGCGACGCCGCGUGAGUGAUGAAGGCCUUCGGGUCGUAAAGCUCUGUUGUACGGGGCGAAAAGCGACGUGCUAAUACCACGGCGUUUUGACAGUACCGUAUAAGAAAGGACCGGCUAACUUCGUGCCAGCAGCCGCGGUAAGACGAGGGGUCCUAGCGUUGUUCGGAAUUACUGGGCGUAAAGCGUGUGUAGGUGGCUUUGAAAGUCAGGUGUGAAAUCCCAUGGCUCAACCAUGGAACUGCAUUUGAAACUGCAAAGCUUGAAUGUCAGAGAGGUGGGCAGAAUUCCUGGUGUAGUGGUGAAAUACGUAGAUAUCAGGAGGAACUCCGGUGGCGAAGGCGGCUCACUGGCUGAACAUUGACACUGAGACACGAAAGCGUGGGGAUCAAACAGG
rnacentral:rRNA from 1 species